UAUAUAUCAGCAAGCACCAUAGACAUUUGUGGGGCUGUACAAGCAACUUGCUGUUGUCACCAUAUUAUAAGCAUAGUUAGGCCUGAACAUGUGUACUCUAAAGUCUCAAAAAACAGAAGCCAAAUAAAAUCACCAUUAGAAGAAAAAUGUUUUGGAGCUCGACUCAUGAUUUUUCACUGCUUGGGACAGCCAUUCAGGUACCUAAGGGCUCAAUACGCCUGAGACCAGGGACAGCAGUCAAGAUCACCACAUGAGACAAGAUACUGGCUCUCUGAGCAGACUCCUCAUGCUAUGCACAGGUUUUAAGUAGAGUCCAACAGCCCUGCUGUCAAAGGGUCAAAUCUAGCACUGGUUGGAAAUAUUCUCCCCCAUAGACAAUGUUUGAUGAAAAUGAAAAAAAAUCAUUCUCAUCCAAAAAUUCCAUAGAAAGUUUUGACUUUUUGGCAAAAAAAAAAAUCAACCAAAAACUUUUAGUCAAAAAUUGAAUAUUUCUAUUUGGACAUGCUUGCGCAGGGCCUCAUGGGAGUUGAAGUUCAGGUGUCUCAUGCCUCCAUUUUCUAUGAGCCAGGUUCACAGGCUGGAUUAUCUCUCCCAUAAUGAACCACGGACUUCCUCUCUUGUUGAGCAACCACAAUGUAUUAUGGGUAUCCAUGCCUAUG